rnacentral:rRNA from 1 species
GACGAACGCUGGCGGCGUGCUUAACACAUGCAAGUCGUACGGUAAGGCCCUUUCGGGGGUACACGAGUGGCGAACGGGUGAGUAACACGUGAGUAACCUGCCCACAACUUUGGGAUAACGCUAGGAAACUGGUGCUAAUACUGGAUAUGUGCUCCUGCUGCAUGGUGGGGGUUGGAAAGCUCCGGCGGUUGUGGAUGGACUCGCGGCCUAUCAGCUUGUUGGUGGGGUAGUGGCCUACCAAGGCGGCGACGGGUAGCCGGCCUGAGAGGGUGACCGGCCACAUUGGGACUGAGAUACGGCCCAGACUCCUACGGGAGGCAGCAGUGGGGAAUAUUGCACAAUGGGCGCAAGCCCGAUGCAGCAACGCCGCGUGCGGGAUGACGGCCUUCGGGUUGUAAACCGCUUUCAGCAGGGACGAAGCUUUUUGUGACGGUACCUGCAGAAGAAGCACCGGCUAACUACGUG